UAACUGGCAGAAGUGAAAAUACUAUAUAGCCUGUUCGAGUGUUUCAGAGAUUAAAACGAAAUUAAAUUUUCCACAACUCUGUUAGGGGAGCAAGUUUUAUAAGCAAGUCAUUGAUUUUUAAUUUGGCUACUGUUGAUUAUGUUAGAAUGUGGUGAGCUCACUGUAAAUAAGCAGUAAAGGGGAAAGCGCCCAAUUAAAAUUAAAAAUACCAUCUUCCCCAGAGGUGACACAGUAUGUUGGUAGCAGGUUCUUCAUUAGACGUGGGUGUGUGGCGGGCACAUCUGUAAUUUGGCUCUGUCGAUAUUUGUCCUCUAGACCGGGUGCGCAACGGACAUCUUGAGCCUUUAGAGGGCGCACUUGAGGCCAAGAGGCUGAAGAGGCUGGAGCAGCCAAGGCUGGGGAGCUGAGCUAUGCAGAGAGCACAGCGCAAGAGAAACGGGGAACCCUAUCUAGGUUCACGCUGUAUCAGGGGGAACUAAAAAUAUAAAUGCCUUCUAUGGGUCAGGAACUGUGCUUAACGGCUUCUCCACAACGCUUCUGUCCAGUUGAUAUUAAUGCUCCAUUUUACAGAUGAAGAAAUUGAGGCUAUUUGUAGAAUGCGGGCAAUGCAGCUUAGAGAGGUUAAACUACCCGGUGCUGGAGGCCAAAUUUGAACUCGGGCCUGAGGGAUUCUCAUUCUCUCUCUCUCUCUCUCUCUCUCUCACACACACACACGCACGCACGCACGCACGCACGCGCGCGCGCGCCAGGCAAGGCGAAAAGGAAUCUUUCUAAUGCCCAAUAAUAACCCUUACUCAUCCUUGCUAAUGAGAGCCUGGAUCAACUUUUCCGCAGAAAGAAAACGGCUUAAUUAAUUGGAGCCACAUCCAAAAGAUGACCCAUGUGGGAGGAGCUUUAAGAAGACGUUUUCUCCACUUUUGACUCCGUAGCUCCGCCCCUCUCAGCUGCUUCCUGGCCUCUGCACAGCAAUGGUGCAGGCCCAUCACUCACAUUGUACACAUCCAGUGCUCCUCUGAUUUGCUUCUCAAGUGUGGUGUCUGUUCGGGAAUGGUUACCUUGCGGACCCUCAGAGGUGUCGUUGUUUGCCUUCCUGCAUUGUCAGUAGAGACAGCCACCCGACUUCCCCCAGGUCUGACGUGCUUCGCUGUCUUGUAU